AACAUCGCCUCCUGCAAAAAUCAAUGUAUAGGAGGUCCUGCCUGCCCAGUGACAACUUGUUAAACGGCCGCGGUAUUUUGACCGUGCUAAGGUAGCGCAAUCACUUGUCUUUUAAAUGAAGACCUGUAUGAAUGGUGGAACGAGGGCUUAACUGUCUCCCUUCUCCCGUCAAUGAAAUUGAUCUGCCCGUGCAGAAGCGGGCAUAUAUAUACAAGACGAGAAGACCCUUUGGAGCUUAUUGGGGCGACCGCGGGGGAAAACAAAGCCCCCACGUAAAACCGAGAGAGACAUCUCUAAGCCACAGAACAUCUGACCAAAAGAUCCGGCCCACAAGCCGAUCAACGAACCAAGUUACCCUAGGGAUAACAGCGCAAUCCUUUCCAAGAGUUCAUAUCGACGAGAGGGUUUACGACCUCGAUGUUGGAUCAGGACAUCCUAAUGGUGCAGCCGCUAUA
rnacentral:rRNA from 1 species